UUAGGGUAGUUGCUGAAGAUUUUCUGGUUCUGGUGUAAUCGCACCUGCGCAAGGCUGACCGCAGGUGCGAGAAAUAUGGCACAGAAGCGGAGUUGGGUGGAUUGGUUAGGGGUCGCAGGUACAUGGAAAAGGCCGCAUCUGCGAUGCCCGCAGAUGCGCAAGGCCGACCACAAUUGCGAAGAGAGAGCACAAAAGCGGACAUGAUUCCGCAGGUGCGGCCCCUUCAUCGCUGGUGCGGAAGCAGAGGGAAGUAAGUGGUUUGCGCAGAAGCGCUCUUUUCGCCACACAAGCGGACGCGCAGGUGCGAGCCCAUGCUCCACAAGUGCGGAAAUGCCUGGGCAGAACCAUUUUUAGUGAGGUUUCGAGAUUUUUGGUCAUUUUCUUCAUUUUUGAGCUCGGGCUAACGAUUUCUUGAUAGCCUUUUCGAGGGAUUUCACGAGGUACUUCUUAUCAGCCCCGCUAUUAGCUGAGAGUGCUUGCUGCUGUACGGAAACUUCAAGGUAUAUCUGCUGCGCCCACAGACCACGGAGUCCCCCUCUAUUCUAUCCUAUGUCAUUUACCUUCCGUACUUCUUUUAUUAGACUCUGGUGUAUAGAGAUACUAGUUUCCUUCUGUAGCUUGUGACUCAUGAUGUUUCGGAUUUUGGGAAAGCUGUGUACGUCUAGCGUUUUAGUUAUUGUACAUGCCGAGCCGCAUUAUUAUUGGUUAUUCAGUAUCUAUUGCAGUUAGUUGAUAAGUUUUACUUCCA